UUUGUUACAGAGUUUACAACCUUUUUGAAUCCCACUCUUUUGUAUUUGAGAUAUCUAUUCAUGUGAUUUCAACUAGCAGUAAUGCUCACUGAUGAAUCACCAUAGAUUUUCUGUUAAUAAUGCUCAUCUUGCAGGUUGGCUUCGAUAUAGUUCGAAUGCUACGACUCAUGUAGAGGGAAAGAGUGCCAUUUCUCAGCCUUUAAACUACCCUAGUUGGAGUCAGCCGAAGCAUUGCAAUAUGGUCUACAAUGCGAGUAAUUAUACCGAUUAUCUUUUUAAGUGAUGUAUCUUUUAUUUAAAGACAAAUAUUUAUUUGGGCCUAGAGGGUGGGCAGAAACAUGAUCCCAGAAUAGAGUGGCUAUAUUAGUAUAAAUAUCAUUUAUAGGCAUUAUAGUAGGUUUUGGGAAGUCUUUCAUUUGCCAAAGAAAUGGUCCCCUUUGCACUUUUGUUCUCUAGACGGAGUGAGAGAACUGUUUUUGGUUGGCUUCGAUAUAGUUCGAAUGCUACGACUCAUGUAGAGGGAAAGAGUGCCAUUUCUCAGCCUUUAAACUACCCUAGUUGGAGUCAGCCGAAGCAUUGCAAUAUGGUCUACAAUGCGAGUAAUUAUACCGAUUAUCUUUUUAAGUGAUGUAUCUUUUAUUUAAAGACAAAUAUUUAUUUGGGCCUAGAGGGUGGGCAGAAACAUGAUCCCAGAAUAGAGUGGCUAUAUUAGUAUAAAUAUCAUUUAUAGGCAUUAUAGUAGGUUUUGGGAAGUCUUUCAUUUGCCAAAGAAAUGGUCCCCUUUGCACUUUUGUUCUCUAGACGGAGUGAGAGAACUGUUUUUGGUUGGCUUCGAUAUAGUUCGAAUGCUACGACUCAUGUAGAGGGAAAGAGUGCCAUUUCUCAGCCUUUAAACUACCCUAGUUGGAGUCAGCCGAAGCAUUGCAAUAUGGUCU